rnacentral:rRNA from 1 species
GACGAACGCUGGCGGCGUGCUUAACACAUGCAAGUCGAACGGUGAUGCUCCAGCUUGCUGGCGUGGAUCAGGGGCGAACGGGUGAGUAACACGUGAGCAACCUGCCCCAGACUCUGGAAUAAGCGCUGGAAACGGCGUCUAAUACUGGAUACGAAACUGGCCCGCAUGGGCAUGGUUUGGAAAGUUUUUCGGUUUGGGAUGGGCUCGCGGCCUAUCAGCUUGUUGGUGAGGUAAUGGCUCACCAAGGCGACGACGGGUAGCCGGCCUGAGAGGGCGACCGGCCACACUGGGACUGAGACACGGCCCAGACUCCUACGGGAGGCAGCAGUGGGGAAUAUUGCACAAUGGGCGAAAGCCUGAUGCAGCGACGCCGCGUGAGGGAUGACGGCCUUCGGGUUGUAAACCUCUUUCAGCAGGGAAGAAGCGAAAGUGACGGUACCUGCAGAAGAAGCACCGGCUAACUACGUG